UACGUAGGGUCCGAGCGUUAAUCGGAAUUACUGGGCGUAAAGCGUGCGCAGGCGGUUUUGUAAGCCAGAUGUGAAAUCCCCGGGCUCAACCUGGGAACUGCAUUUGGGACUGCAAGGCUAGAGUACGGCAGAGGGGGGUAGAAUUCCUGGUGUAGCAGUGAAAUGCGUAGAUAUCUGGAGGAAUACCGGUGGCGAAGGCGGCAUCCUGGACCGAGAUUGACGCUGAGGAGCGAAAGCUAGGGGAGCAAACGGG
rnacentral:rRNA from 1 species